AUCGCACAUCAAGAGUGAGGCCUGUGCCUCUACCAACCUGCCCUUCCCGGCAAGGUGGUGUCCGAACAAGGAGAUGUGGCCAUGACGGCAACCAAGGGGAUCAU
rnacentral:ncRNA from 18 species